GGGGAAUUUUCCGCAAUGGGCGAAAGCCUGACGGAGCAAUACCGCGUGUGGGAGGACGCUUUUUGGAGUGUAAACCACUUUUAUUAGGGAAGAAGAACUGACGGUACCUAAUGAAUCAGCAUCGGCUAACUCCGUGCCAGCAGCCGCGGUAAUACGGGGGAUGCAAGCGUUAUCCGGAAUUAUUGGGCGUAAAGCGUCCGUAGGUGGCUUAUCAAGUCUGUUGUCAAAGCGUGCGGCUUAACCGCAUACGGGCGAUGGAAACUGAUGAGCUAGAGUGCGAUAGGGGUCAGGGGAAUUCCCGGUGUAGCGGUGAAAUGCGUAGAUAUCGGGAAGAACACCAGUGGCGAAAGCGCCUGACUGGGUCUGCACUGACACUGAGGGACGAAAGCU
rnacentral:rRNA from 1 species